rnacentral:misc_RNA from 1 species
AGCUUCAUCAACGACAUCUUCGAGAAACUCGCUCAAGAGUCAUCUAAGUUGGCUCGCUACAACAAGAAACCUACCAUCACUUCUAGGGAGAUCCAAACGGCCGUCAGACUUGUUCUUCCCGGUGAGUUGGCCAAGCACGCUGUCUCUGAAGGAACCAAAGCGGUGACUAAGUUCACAAGUUCCUAAAUCCUGCGUUUGUCUUGAUGAAUUCCAAUAGGUUGUUUUAGGUGAAUGAAAUUGAACAAGAAAUUAGGGUUAGUAGCUCUGUUUUAAUUAUUACGAUGUGUUGGUGUAUUUGAUAUCUUUUGGAUUUGUCAAUUUCUUAUCAUAUAUAGAUGCUUAAGAGAUCUGUAAAUGCUUCUUUUUAUGUGCCGUUAAUGGAAGUGAUUUUGUU